rnacentral:rRNA from 1 species
AACGUAGGAGGCGAGCGUUGUUCGGAAUUACUGGGCGUAAAGCGCGCGUAGGCGGCCUUGUAAGUCGGAUGUGAAAGCCCUCAGCUCAACUGAGGAACUGCGUCCGAUACUGCUCGGCUUGAGUCCGGUAGGGGAUGGCAGAAUUCCCGGUGUAGCGGUGGAAUGCGUAGAUAUCGGGAGGAAUACCGAUGGCGAAGGCGGCCAUCUGGGCCGGAACUGACGCUGAUGCGCGAAAGCUAGGGGAG